rnacentral:tRNA from 1 species
GCGCGGGUGGCGGAAUUGGCAGACGCGCCAGACUUAGGAUCUGGUGCCCGAGAGGGUGUGUGGGUUCGAGUCCCACCCCGCGCA